rnacentral:rRNA from 1 species
AGAGUUUGAUCCUGGCUCAGGAUGAACGUUGGCGGUGUGCCUAAUACAUGCAAGUCGAACGGUGACGAUUUUGUAGCAAUACGAAUGAAAUCAUAGUGGCGAACGGGUGAGUAACGCGUUGGUGAUCUGCCUCGAAGUGUGGAAUAACUUCCCGAAAGGAACGCUAAUACCGCAUGUGCUCUCAGUUUUUAGAAUGUUGAGAGUAAAGGAUUUAUUCGCUUCGAGAGGAGCCUGCGUCCCAUCAGCUAGUUGGUAGGGUAAUAGCCUACCAAGGCAAUGACGGGUAGGGGACCUGAGAGGGUGGCCCCCCACAAUGGAACUGAAACACGGUCCAUACACCUACGGGUGGCAGCAGUAGGGAAUAUUAGAAAUGGGCGAAAGCCUGAUCUAGCAACACCGCGUGUGCGAUGAAGGCCUUCGGGUUGUAAAGCACUUUUUGGAGGGAAUAGGAAGGAAGGUACCUCCAGAAUAAGUCUCGGCUAACUACGUGCCAGCAGCCGCGGUAACACGUAGGAGGCAAACGUUAUCCGGAUUCACUGGGCGUAAAGCGCGUGUAGGUGGUUCUGUAAGUAGGGCGUGAAAGCUCCCGGCUCAACUGGGAGAGGCCGUACUAAACUGCAGAGCUAGAGGAUGGUAGAGGGAGGUGGAAUUCCAGGUGUAGUGGUGAAAUGCGCAGAUAUCUGGAGGAACACCAGUGGCGAAGGCGGCCUCCUGGACCAUUCCUGACACUCAGACGCGAAAGCUAGGGUAGCAAACGGAAUUAGAGACUCCGGUAGUCCUAGCCCUAAACGAUGCAGACUAGGCGUCGGCGGUUUAAUCACCGUCGGUGUCCAAGCUAACGCGAUAAGUCUGCCGCCUGAGGACUACGGCCGCAAGGCUAAAACUCAAAGGAAUUGACGGGUCCCCGCACAAGCAGCGGAGCGUGUGGUUUAAUUCGAUGCUCCGCGAAGAACCUUACCUGGGUUUGACAUAACAGUGGUAGAGAAGUGAAAACGGAUCGACCCUUCGGGGAGCUGUUAC